GCGAGGAUGGCGGAACUGGUAGACGCGCCAGACUUAGGAUCUGGUCCCUUCGGGGGUGUGGGUUCAAGUCCCAUUCCUCGCACCA
rnacentral:tRNA from 1 species